GAUGAACGCUAGCGGCAGGCCUAAUACAUGCAAGUCGAACGGCAGCACGGGUAGCAAUAUCUGGUGGCGAGUGGCGCACGGGUGCGUAACGCGUAUGCAAUCUACCUUUAACUGGUGAAUAGCCCGAAGAAAUUCGGAUUAAUACACCAUAAUAUAUUAGAGUGGCAUCACUUUAAUAUUAAAACUACGGUGGUUAAAGAUGAGCAUGCGUGACAUUAGCUAGUUGGUGAGGUAAUGGCUCACCAAGGCUACGAUGUCUAGGGGAUCUGAGAGGAUUAA
rnacentral:rRNA from 1 species